UUAAAAUGGGCUAGCAAGCCAAAUUUGUCUCUCAUACAACUACUGACAUCAACACAAGGCCCCCUGUGUUUGAACAGCAGCUGUCACAAUUUGUUUCCUGAAUAAAGGUUAGCCAAAAUUAAACCUGGAUAGAGACAGCAGGUAUUUUGCAGAUAUUCUGGUCUUGCGAUGAGCAUUGAGCAAGUCCUGGAAGAGCAGGUUUUGAGGGGUGCACAAGAUAUGCUGACUUUUCAUUUCCUCUGUCCACUGAUAACUCUUCCCUCCCCACACUGGUGGUGGUCCAAAUGAUGUCUUUUUUAGCAAGAUAGUCAAACACAGUUUUAAAAGUAAAUGCAUACAUUGCACUUGUCAUCUCAAGAGCCUAAAAAGUACAGAUGGGCAUUAAUUAAUCAACACAACAUCUCUGCAAGUUAAAGAAAUAUUUUUAUCCCCUGUGUGGAAACUGAGGCAUGAGGAAGUGAAGUGUCUUAUAAAAGGUCAAAAAAGAAGUUCAUCACAAAAGAAUAGAACAUGCCUAACUGGUGAUUACUGUGGGCUAGGAAAUACUCCACAUAAUUGAUUAAGAUACGUUCUUUGUUUUUCAUUGUUUAUUCCUGCUGAGAGAUGCUCUUUGCCCACAAACUGCUGGACCAAGACUGAAUGUUAAUCAGUAUGUCACACCCUGUUGGUCUUCAGCCCAAGUCAAGUCACUGCAGUCUGUAAUUCGUGUGUGAGAGUUGGUCCAAAGAUGGAGCAGUAUUUGCCUGAACAUCACCAUCAAGAACCUAGAGAACUGAAGCUGAGACUGAAAGAACCCAUGGACAAUGACUUGGAGAGAGGCCCGAGGAGAAGCAUUGUGUUGCACUGUUUCUCCGAUACGGGGUGGCUCCUGCUAACAAUGUCUGUUGUGUGGACUUUGGCUGCUUCUCCAGCCAAACCAGCCCCUGCCCCCUGAAAGCUAUUGUUAUGAGGGUCUCUUCGACCCAGAAACAAUAGCCACUGUCCAGAAGAAUGUGUUCUCACUUGCUGCCUCAGUUACACGUGUCCCUCACCCAUUCCCUCAAACAAUGGCCAAUGAAAAGGAGCUUGCCCAGAAGCUCGCCAAGGGUCCUGAGGUCACCCAAUGGACUAGAGAAAGACCCCUGAAUGCUGGACACGUAAGCAUUGGCAAAAGAAAGAGUGAAUCUUUCGACCCUGCGCAGUACGAGCCUGGGCUGCGAAAACAAUGGGAACAAGGUGGGGUGAAGAAGCAUAAAAGGUGACUCCAGAAUGGACACCAUGGAAGAUCUUCCCACCAGAGGAUCCCGAACCAUGACGGAGGACCGGCCAGACUCCAUUGGACCCGGAGACCAGAGGGACGCUUCUGGAACUGGACUGAACUCCGCAGUGCUCUGAGCAGCGCUGAUGGGGACACAAAGCAAGAAGCGGAGACCUACGAUGCAAGAGUAAAGCUGCCCUCUGCAGGUUAUCUUAACCAGGAAAACAACAACAACAACAACACAUGACCAACUUAAAAAGGACCAAAAGAGACUCUGGAAGAUGUGGCAUCUGCAUUUCCCAGUGGGAAUCUCUCCAUACAUUGAAGUGCUGGCACCAACACAAAGCCAAAUGCAGGGACUGGCUCCCGGCCUGCCCAGCCUGUGGUGUGAGGUGGGUGUCUGGCUCCAACCCCUCCGAGCCACAUGAGCUCUGUGCCCAUGAGCAGGGGUCUGUGGGCUGCUGGCAGUGGGCAGAGAGCCAGAGCCGCAGGGAGAUUUGCUGCAAGGGCUCAUUCCCUUUGCAUCCCAGUACAAGGCACUGAUGAAAGGAGUGGGGAGACUGACACACAGAGGGCAUUUCUUGAAUGGUUUGAAAGUGGCUUUUCCCCCUUCCAGCUUGUGAAUCCCCCAGGAUGGCAAUGGCUCAGUUGCUCCUGACUGAAGAGGUGAUGCUCAGUCUCCUACAACUCAGAGGAGACUGAGCUUUUGCUAAAGACUAAGAGCAAUUUGCAGUUUCCUGGCUGAGGAAAACACAGUGUACUGUACUCUGACAACCAGUAAGUCCUUCCCACUCACUGAUGCCCUACUUCCCAACCUGUCUAAUACCACCAAACUCAUCUAAUAUUUGCAACCACUUCUGAACCCUUCUGCAAUCCUUCUAGCACACCCAUAGUUUGUAGAGAUGCUGCAAUGUGUGUUUCUCAAAUGCACUUAUGCCUUCACUUGCUCCAGUGCUUGUGUCUUUCAUACUGAAGCUUUGGCCCAGCCAUUCAUGUCGGCACACAUGAAAGAAGAUCAAGGGAUAAAUAAAAGUUCUUUUACUGGAUUAUCUUUCAAGUUGAGCAGCACUUUGAAUGCAGUCAUCACACAGAGGCACAGGCAGAGGGACUUUUUCAAUGAAAGGGUCUGGGGAAGCAUGGAGGAAGAAGGAGAGGAGGAAAAAAGCUGGGGGUAAGUUACACCAGUUGGAUGAAUUUUGUAGCCAAAUGUGAAAUCUGAGCCUGUGAAACACAGACUGACACAAAGGCGUGGCCAAGUAAGGACUGGACUUGUUGUGGCCAUGCUGCAUGUAGGCCUGCUCUUUACCAACAAAUCUUACAAGCUCAAUGUCACCAGCAACAAUGCCCACCUGCCAAAACACUUGAAGCUACAGCUGUGGCAUCACUGACUUGUUAGAAGCUGUGCUGUCCCAGAAGUGGACAAGUGGAUGUCAAUCAUUGCCCAUUUGAUGCCUCUGCAUUAUGUAAGAGACUGUCAUGUCAGCUCUUGGUAGCUUUCCCUACUGUGUGCUUACUAAAUCGCUGUGAAAGGCUCAGAUGUUCAUUCCUGCAUGCUUUUAGGUCCACAGGUCUUUAACAAUGAAGAUAUUUUCCAGGUCUUGCAUGAUAAGGUAUGUAGUCCAUAUGCAUGUGUACAUCACAGAACAACAGAAUGACUAAGGUUGGAAAGGACUUCUGGAAGUCAUCUGGUCCAACCCGCUCGCAACAAAGCAGGUUGCCCUGGACCAAGUUCAGAUGGCUUUUAAAUGUCUUAGCCUUCUCUUUGAUGUUCUCAUCCAGAUGCUUAGGCACUAGAAGCAGCAAUGUCUCUCUCAAGUUCUCACUUCUCCUGAAUGUCACCUCUUCAUAAACAUGCACUAGUGUAGUGUGUCGCAAAUGUGGCACACACUCCCUCAACCAAGAAGAGACUUCAUGCAGAAUUUUCAGCACUGCUGCAUUUCCCUUAAGAGACAGAGCACAAAAGAUGAUAUAGCUAGAAAACAAGCAGCAUGUCAGAUCUCCACUGGUCUUUCUCAUCAGAGUCAGCUCUAAUAACAGCUCUGAGGCUGUAGAACUGCGUGACCCAAAUAGAACAGCACCUACUCUAUUAAGUAUGAGGACUUCUACAAGAUGAUUUUUGUGCUCGAUAAGCACUCUCUGAUAAACCUGUCCUGAGGAAGAAGCCAGCUUGUUGGCCUGAAAGAAAACACCUCAAGUAGCUUCCCUGUUAGGGCAGUCUGGUGUCUCUCCAGCAUCUGAGAUUCCAGUGUAACAUGGGAGAAAAACAGAAGCAGAUAUCCAAAACAGAGUCCAGUUCAACCAGUGGUUACGCAUAAAGAGCCCCCGGUAUAAAACUGAAUUUAUAAACUGUACGUAAAUAGCUUCCCCAUGUCAUUCCAUAGGCACAGAUUUUGUAGGGAAGCUAAAUAGCUGGCACUCCUCCCAGCACUACCUGGUACAUGAUGUGUAGCCUGUGCCAUGUAAUGAAGAAAUGACAUGCAGCUAUGCACUCCCUACCUCUUAAGCCCUCCUGGCCCAUGCUAAAUAAAACACCAGACCGAUAUCCAGCCAGGCUGGUGGGCUGAUGGUGGUCAUCAGUGUGGCCAUCAUGGUGCACAGGGAGAGAGCACAUACUGCACAUUCAGAAAUGUUGGUUCUGAUCACUCAGCCUAGCUGCAGAACUUAGCAAGAAUUGAAGACACGUUUGUGAGUAAGAGGAGACAAAAUUCUAGACAAGCUAUAAUUGGCAAACCUGAGUGAGAACAAGGAGUGAUGUAAGAUCUCCUUCACCUGAUUAAGUGAUGCCUGGAAAUGUUUCAACAAUGCAGUAGGAAUUUUCAAGUAGCAGCCAUAUAUACCUGUCGAGAAUGUUUCAUGACAAAAAACAAUGCCAAGAUUUCUGAUCUGCCUGCUACUGAAAUAAAAUUUGCCUCAUUCAAAGGCACUAGAACAUUUAUAAGCAUAAGAACUACAUCCUCCAGAAGAAGAGGUUCAGCCUGAAUUUCCCAGGAACUGGAGUUCCACUCUGUCCUUUGAAUAUCUACCGGUUACUAAUAAUUUCCUCAGUUUGUAGGCUUGCUGCAGUAGGAGUGUUUGUGAUGUAUAGUUUUCAUAUGUAUAUACUCUGUGUAUGUCUAAGUCCCUAUUGUCCUCUAGAACACAAAUUUAAACCCACAUCAUGCUCCAGCAUCAGAGGCAUAUAAGGGAAGAAAGCUCCACCUGUCACAUGGACAAGCUGGACAAGGUUUUGGAUGCAUUUUCCCUCCAGCCAAGUCCACCACCACACAUUCCAUCAUAUCCUGCGAUGCUAUUAUGAACUACCGUUGAGCAGAGAAGUUAGUGACAAGCGCCCUCCUGGAAGGGGCUGUUGCAUGAGAUGGCCCAUUGGGAGCCAGGGGCAGCUGAGCUUUGAGUGUGCCACAGCAUUUUCCCUGCCCCCUGGCUUGCACUGCCCAUGGUAUCAGGGGCAUGGUGCUCCUCACCAGCAUGGCAAGUGGAAUCUGCAUCCUCCCUUCAAAAAUGUUUGGUACACAACCCAUCAUCCCUCCAUUACACUUCUCCUCUGACACCCAAUUCAGCUUCCAAGUCCUUUGGAUCAGCUGUUUAACGUGAGCCAGUGAAUUUAAACCUAGGUAUUACCCUUUUUUUUUCAUAAUCUAGGAUGACCAGGAUGACAAAGAAGCUGUGGCCUCCAUAGUGUUGUCAUUCAAGAAAGAAUUAACAUUGUAUGCCGUUCCUCCCUUCCACUUCAGAGCUGUGUGCAACCCUGCUCAGCUGAGAUUCCGAAAUGGACUCAGACUCCUUUCUAUUACAUAAGAAAAUUACCAUCAACAUUUUAUCACAUUCUUUGCCUCAGACUCCCUGUUAGUAACCAAUGAAAAAAAGAGACAGAGAGUGUGUGUGGGGGGUGGUGUCUUAACACUGCAGCAGCAUAAUGACAUCUGAUGGCCCAGUAAUUGAUACGAUCUCUCAAUGCAUACACUCUUGUCAUGGCAAUUAGAUCUGUAGUCUAAGCAUUUCUGGACUUUUUGCCAGGAAAGAAUUGGGAAAUUAAUGAAAGCAAAUUAAUUAUUUGUUUCCAUGGUUUCUGAUGUAAUAAUACAGCUGUUCUUUAUCAGCAUAAUUCACGAUUAAUGUCUCCCACAGCUCAGCUCAGAUUUAUGCCCAUGUUCUUUGCAUGCCACACUUCUGUUCUGAUUAAAUAUCAAGUGUUUUUUAAAUAUGAAAAUGGUUCUGCAUUUCCGAGAUCUGUUCUGGGCUGUGGCAAAAGGAAAACAAUAACUCCUUUUGAUCAUACACAUACGAGUUUUAUGUGAUGACACCAUCUUUGGCUCCUACAGAAGUAGUCCCAGUUUACACUUGCAUGAGGGGAAGCUAGAUUCUAUGCCACGGACUAUACCAGACUUCUCUACCAUGGCCCAAAUGUAGGCUUAGGAAAGUAAUCGGGAGUAAAGAAAGAUGUCUUUUUGCCAAGUUGGGCACCAGACACAGUAAUUCGAGUAGAUCAAUUUCAAAGAUCAGAAUGUUUAUAGCCAUUUAUUUAUUCCUGUCUUU